rnacentral:rRNA from 1 species
UACAGAGGUGGCAAGCGUUGUUCGGAAUUACUGGGUGUAAAGGGCGCGUAGGCGGCCAUCUAAGUCAGACGUGAAAUCCCCCGGCUUAACCUGGGAACUGCGUCUGAUACUGGACGGCUUGAGUAUGGGAGAGGGAUGUAGAAUUCCAGGUGUAGCGGUGAAAUGCGUAGAUAUCUGGAGGAAUACCGGUGGCGAAGGCGGCAUCCUGGACCAUUACUGACGCUGAGGCGCGAAAGCUAGGGGAGCAAACGGG